GAUGAAGGCCUUCGGGUUGUAAACUUCUUUUCUCUGCGAUGAAUAUGACAGUAACAGAGGAAUAAGGGUCUGCUAACUACGUGCCAGCAGCCGCGGUCAUACGUAGGACCCAAGCGUUAUCCGGAUUGACUGGGCGUAAAGAGUUGCGUAGGUGGUUUGUUAAGCGAAUAGUGAAAUCUUGUGGCUCAACCAUAAGGCUAUUAUUCGAACUGGCAAACUCGAGAACAGGAGAGGUAUCUGGAAUUCCCAGUGUAGGAGUGAAAUCCGUAGAUAUUGGGAGGAACACCAAUGGCGUAGGCAGGAUACUGGACUGUUUCUGACACUAAGGCACGAAAGCGUGGGGAGCGAACUGGAUUAGAUACCCAGGUAGUCCACGCUGUAAACUAUGGAUGCUAGCAGUAAGCCGUAUCGACCCGGUUUGUUGCGAAGCUAACGCGUUAAGCAUCCCGCCUGGGUAGUACGGUCGCAAGACUA
rnacentral:rRNA from 1 species